UACAGAGGGUGCAAGCGUUGUUCGGAAUUAUUGGGCGUAAAGCGCGUGUAGGCGGCUUUGCAAGUCGGGUGUGAAAGCCCUCAGCUUAACUGAGGAAGUGCGCCAGAAACUGCAGAGCUUGAGUACCGGAGAGGAUGGUGGAAUUCCCCAAGUAGAGGUGAAAUUCGUAGAUAUGGGGAGGAACACCGGUGGCGAAGGCGACCAUCUGGACGGAUACUGACGCUGAGACGCGAAAGCGUGGGUAGCAAACAGG
rnacentral:rRNA from 1 species